GCUGGGUAUGGUGGUGCAUGCCUGUAAUCACAGCAGCUCAGGAGGCUGAGGCAGGAGGAUUGUGAGUUCAAAGCUAGCCUCAGCAAUGAUGUGGCACCAAGCAACUUAGUAAGACCCUGCCUCUA
rnacentral:sRNA from 1 species